CGCCGAGCGGACGCCGCCGCCGCCGAAGCCACAGCGGCGCCGCUCUCCGCCGCAGAACGCAGCGCCCGUCCGCAAGGCAGCGUUGUACUGUGGGAUGUAAACCAGGAUAUGAAGCUUUCAACUCUUCCUGUCAGCUGCAGAGUUCACACCAAGACAAAUUUUCACCAAAGUUCUCCAGAUCUACACCAUUUCUGCUCAUUCCAGAUUCCGACGCCGGAGGCGGGCGACCCGACGCCUGUGCCAGCGAGACACGAUGACAGACGAGAUGAUAAUCUCGCUAAAGACGGAUCUGGCGGCGGCUGCAGAUGAAUUGCCCUUCUGGGAGACAAAGGAGGCGCCUCGGUGCGGGGAAAUUGAUGCCGCCCCCUGCGACUCAUAAUGGGGCGACUGCGCCGGCGGCGGCUCCGGGACCCGGGCACGCCUCAAAAAACUUGGCGGGCGCCAGCCGGCACCUGUGGGCGCCCCUGUUGCUCCCGGCUGCUUCCAGCUCGGCGAACAGCACUCUGAGAGUUUCUCAAUAAACUGCUUCAGACUCUAAAAUAAUAAUAUCCCCGGUAUCCUACAGAUAAAGUACAUAAUUGACUAACCAAUUCAUACAGUGUAAUAGGUAUUUACAUACAGGAGUUAUAAGGAUUAAAAGAUAAAACUGAAUGAAAAUUCCAAUAGUUCGUUGUAGCUGUAUUCAGUUAAGUCGAUUAGACACUCACAUAACUGGUUUCCCAACUUUUCAAUUCCAUUUCUGGUGUAUAUUCUGCUGUAUUAUAUGGUCUAGAGAGUUAUUACAAAAUUCCGCAGAGUUACAGUUGACGUGUCUUGGCAUUUUUGUACUAGGUCUACAACUUUGCUUUCACCGUUUUUUCUCGAAGUUCGGGGCUUUAUUGUGAAAAACUUACAAAACAAUUAUGGUUCAUAGUAUUGCCCAUCGCUGGCCACUGCUUGUUAUAAGAGUUGAGGGGUAUGAAAGGGAAGCAGUGGUUGGGAAGGGAGUGAGACAGGGUUGUAGCCU